UCCUUGGUGGGCCCAGUGGUUAAGACUCUGCACUUCUAAUGCAGGGGGUGUGGGUUUGAUUCCUGGUCAGGGAA
rnacentral:tRNA from 1 species